rnacentral:rRNA from 1 species
UACGUAGGUGGCAAGCGUUGUCCGGAUUUACUGGGCGUAAAGAGCGCGCAGGCGGUCGUUCAAGUCGCGUGUGAAAGCCCCCGGCUCAACUGGGGAGGGUCACGCGAUACUGAUCGACUCGAAGGCAGGAGAGGGUAGUGGAAUUCCCGGUGUAGAGGGUGAAAUUCGUAGAUAUUGGGAAGAACACCAGUGGCGGAGGCGGCUAACUGGUCCAGAUCUGACGCUGAGGUGCGAAAGCGUGGGGAGCAAACAGGG